UAAAUCAGUUAUCGUUUAUUUGAUAGUACCUUACUACUUGGAUAACCGUGGUAAUUCUAGAGCUAAUACAUGCUAAAAACCCCAACUUCGGGAGGGGUGUAUUUAUUAGAUAAAAAACCAAUGCCCUUCGGGGCUCUUUGGUGAUUCAUGAUAACUUAACGGAUCGCAUGGCCUUGCGCCGGCGACGGUUCAUUCAAAUUUCUGCCCUAUCAACUUUCGAUGGUAAGGUAUUGGCUUACCAUGGUUUCAACGGGUAACGGGGAAUUAGGGUUCGAUUCCGGAGAGGGAGCCUGAGAAACGGCUACCACAUCCAAGGAAGGCAGCAGGCGCGCAAAUUACCCAAUCCCGACACGGGGAGGUAGUGACAAUAAAUACUGAUACAGGGCUCUUUUGGGUCUUGUAAUUGGAAUGAGUACAAUUUAAACCCCUUAACGAGGAACAAUUGGAGGGCAAGUCUGGUGCCAGCAGCCGCGGUAAUUCCAGCUCCAAUAGCGUAUAUUAAAGUUGUUGCAGUUAAAAAGCUCGUAGUUGAAACUUGGGCCUGGCUGUCUGGUCCGCCUCACCGCGUGUACUGGUUCGGCCGGGCCUUUCCUUCUGGAGAGCCUCAUGCCCUUCACUGGGUGUGUUGGGGAACCAGGACUUUUACUUUGAAAAAAUUAGAGUGUUCAAAGCAGGCCUUUGCUCGAAUACGUUAGCAUGGAAUAAUAGAAUAGGACGUGCGAUCCUAUUUUGUUGGUUUCUAGGACCGCCGUAAUGAUUAAUAGGGAUAGUCGGGGGCAUCAGUAUUCAAUUGUCAGAGGUGAAAUUCUUGGAUUUAUUGAAGACUAACUACUGCGAAAGCAUUUGCCAAGGAUGUUUUCAUUAAUCAGUGAACGAAAGUUAGGGGAUCGAAGACGAUCAGAUACCGUCGUAGUCUUAACCGUAAACUAUGCCGACUAGGGAUCGGGCGAUGUUAUUAUUUUGACUCGCUCGGCA
rnacentral:rRNA from 2 species